GUGGGGAAUUUUGGACAAUGGGCGCAAGCCUGAUCCAGCCAUGCCGCGUGAGUGAAGAAGGCCUUCGGGUUGUAAAGCUCUUUCGGCCGGGAAGAAAUCGGCGACUCUAACAUAGUCGCUGGAUGACGGUACCGGACUAAGAAGCACCGGCUAACUACGUGCCAGCAGCCGCGGUAAUACGUAGGGUGCGAGCGUUAAUCGGAAUUACUGGGCGUAAAGCGUGCGCAGGCGGUUUUGUAAGACAGAUGUGAAAUCCCCGGGCUUAACCUGGGAACUGCGUUUGUGACUGCAAGGCUAGAGUACGGCAGAGGGGGGUGGAAUUCCUGGUGUAGCAGUGAAAUGCGUAGAUAUCAGGAGGAACACCGAUGGCGAAGGCAGCCCCCUGGGCCUGUACUGACGCUCAUGCACGAAAGCGUGGGGAGCAAACAGGAUUAGAAACCCUGGUAGUCC
rnacentral:rRNA from 1 species